CAUUAGGUUGAUUCUGCCUAACGUAGAUGCUAGUCUCUGAGAUUAAGCCAUGCAUGUCAGUGAAGCCUUACGGUGGAACGGCGAACGGCUCAGUAAUGUUGCGGUAAUUUGGUCUCUGUGUGUAAACUAACCACGGUAACCUGUGGCUAAAAGCGGAGAAUAAGGCGCAACCCUAUCAGCUUGUGGUAGUGAAAGACUCCAG
rnacentral:ncRNA from 1 species